AUUGAACGCUGGCGGCAUGCCUUACACAUGCAAGUCGAACGGUAACGGGCCUUCGGGUGCCGACGAGUGGCGAACGGGUGAGUAAUACAUCGGAACGUGCCCGAUCGUGGGGGAUAACGAGGCGAAAGCUUUGCUAAUACCGCAUACGAUCUACGGAUGAAAGCAGGGGACCGCAAGGCCUUGCGCGGACGGAGCGGCCGAUGGCAGAUUAGGUAGUUGGUGGGAUAAAAGCUUACCAAGCCGACGAUCUGUAGCUGGUCUGAGAGGAUGAUCAGCCACACUGGGACUGAGACACGGCCCAGACUCCUACGGGAGGCAGCAGUGGGGAAUUUUGGACAAUGGGCGCAAGCCUGAUCCAGCCAUGCCGCGUGCAGGAUGAAGACCUUCGGGUUGUAAACUGCUUUUGUACGGAACGAAAAGCCUUCUUUUAAUACAGGAGGGUCAUGACGGUACCGUAAGAAUAAGCACCGGCUAACUACGUG
rnacentral:rRNA from 1 species